rnacentral:pre_miRNA from 1 species
AACAUACUCCCUCCGUUUGGAAUUACUUGUCUCGAAAAUGGAUGUAUCUAGAACUAAAAUACGUCUAGAUACAUCCAUUUCCGCGACAAGUAAUUUCGAACGGAGGGAGUACUUG